GUCACAAUAGGCUCUUCAAACACCUUUCUGACAUAACUAAGGCAAUCAGCCCAUUGCGCCAUAACCAGAAGACAAUAUCUAAUGGCAAUUGCCAUGUAUAGUGUGAAGGCCUUUCCUUGUGGAUUCAGAAUGGAGCAUGGACCACAAUUCUCAGAAGCGACUUCUAGAGAGAUGUUGGGUGUAAUGCCAGCCAUUGUUACAAUAGGACAUUGCAUUUUAUACCUGAGAUCACUGACUGGUUGUCAUCAGAUAGAAUCAUGUAGUCCCCUGUUGUACAAACAGAACAUUCUGAUGACUAUUCAUUAAGUGAAAUAUAAUGGAACACUUAAAGUGACCCCAAGAUUAAACCCUUAUUUGGGGUUUGUCUAAUGACUAAUGGUCACUACCACCAGUUUGGAGACAUUACAACAAAACUCUGCUGCUGACAAAAAUAUUAACCAUAAAUGAUGAGAAAUUUUCAGUUGGGACCAAAAGAACAUCUGGAGGCCAUUAAAGCAGGAGAAUUUUCCCUCUAUGUCCUGAUUGCCAAACUUAGAACCAACCACCCAGAAACUGUGGCCCUCAUGCUAACUCAAUGUUUAUAUUUCAUUAAAAACGAUUUCAAGGGUUUGCGUCUUGCACUUCAUGGCCCAACUCCCAUGCAUACAGCUUUUCAUCUCACUGAGCAUGUCCUGGAGCAGACGAGCAUUCCUCACCUCUUGGUUUCAGAAGAAGGAGCUUCUUGG
rnacentral:lncRNA from 1 species